rnacentral:rRNA from 1 species
CAGCCGUAAACUAUGCGCGUUAGGUGUACUGGUGACCACGAGUCACCGGGGUGCCGAAGGGAAACCGUGAAACGUGCCGCCUGGGAAGUACGGUCGCAAGGCUGAAACUUAAAGGAAUUGGCGGGGGAGCACCACAACGGGUGGAGACCUGCGGUUUAAUUGGACUCAACGCCGGAAAUCUCACCGGAUAGGACAGACAUAUGAUAGUCGGGCUGAAGACUCUACUUGAUGAUCUGAGAGGUGGUGCAUGGCGUCAGUGACU